AGAGUUUGAUCAUGGCUCAGAUUGAACGCUGGCGGCAGGCCUAACACAUGCAAGUCGAGCGCGAAAACACUUCGGUGUGAGUAGAGCGGCGGACGGGUGAGUAAUGCUUGGGAAUCUGCCCAGUAGUGGGGGAUAACGUGUGGAAACGCACGCUAAUACCGCAUACGUCCUACGGGAGAAAGCAGGGGAUCUUCGGACCUUGCGCUAUUGGAUGAGCCCAAGUCUGAUUAGCUAGUUGGUGAGGUAGUGGCUCACCCAAGCGACGGUCUGUAGCUGGUCUGAGAGGAUGAUCAGCCACACUGGGACUGAGACACGGCCCAGACUCCUACGGGAGGCAGCUGUGGGGAAUACUGCACAAUGGGCGAAAGCCUGAUGCAGCCUUCCCCGUGUGUGGA
rnacentral:rRNA from 1 species